GGAAUCUUCCGCAAUGGGCGAAAGCCUGACGGAGCAACGCCGCGUGAGUGAUGAAGGUCUUCGGAUCGUAAAACUCUGUUAUUAGGGAAGAACAUAUGUGUAAGUAACUGUGCACAUCUUGACGGUACCUAAUCAGAAAGCCACGGCUAACUACGUGCCAGCAGCCGCGGUAAUACGUAGGUGGCAAGCGUUAUCCGGAAUUAUUGGGCGUAAAGCGCGCGUAGGCGGUUUUUUAAGUCUGAUGUGAAAGCCCACGGCUCAACCGUGGAGGGUCAUUGGAAACUGGAAAACUUGAGUGCAGAAGAGGAAAGUGGAAUUCCAUGUGUAGCGGUGAAAUGCGCAGAGAUAUGGAGGAACACCAGUGGCGAAGGCGACUUUCUGGUCUGUAACUGACGCUGAUGUGCGAAAGCGUGGGGAUCAAACAGGAUUAGAUACCCUGGUAAACUUUUUUUU
rnacentral:rRNA from 1 species